rnacentral:rRNA from 1 species
UAUGCAAGUCGAACGGCAGCACGGACUUCGGUCUGGUGGCGAGUGGCGAACGGGUGAGUAAUGUAUCGGAACGUACCAUUCAGUGGGGGAUAACGUAGCGAAAGUUACGCUAAUACCGCAUAUUCUCUCCGGAGGAAAGCAGGGGACCGCAAGGCCUUGCGCUGAUUGAGCGGCCGAUAUCAGAUUAGCUAGUUGGUGGGGUAACGGCUCACCAAGGCGACGAUCUGUAGCGGGUCUGAGAGGAUGAUCCGCCACACUGGAACUGAGACACGGUCCAGACUCCUACGGGAGGCAGCAGUGGGGAAUUUUGGACAAUGGGCGCAAGCCUGAUCCAGCCAUGCCGCGUGAGUGAAGAAGGCCUUCGGGUUGUAAAGCUCUUUCGGCCGGGAAAAAAUCGCAGCGGCUAAUACCCUGUGUGGAUGAUGGUACCGGAAUAAGAAGCACCGGCUAACUACGUGCCAGCAGCCGCGGUAAUACGUAGGGUGCGAGCGUUAAUCGGAAUUACUGGGCGUAAAGCGUGCGCAGGCGGUUUUGUAAGACAGGCGUGAAAUCCCCGGGCUCAACCUGGGAACUGCGCUUGUGACUGCAAGGCUAGAGUAUGGCAGAGGGGGGUGGAAUUCCACGUGUAGCAGUGAAAUGCGUAGAGAUGUGGAGGAACACCGAUGGCGAAGGCAGCCCCCUGGGCCAAUACUGACGCUCAUGCACGAAAGCGUGGGUAGCAAACAGGAUUAGAUACCCUGGUAGUCCACGCCCUAAACGAUGUCAACUAGGUGUUGGGUGGGUAAAACCAUUUAGUACCGGAGCUAACGCGUGAAGUUGACCGCCUGGGGAGUACGCCGCAAGGUUAAAACUCAAAGGAAUUGACGGGGACCCGCACAAGCGGUGAUGAUGUGAUUAAUUCGAUGCAACGCGAAAAACCUUACCUACGCUU